GAUCAUGGCUCAGGAUGAACGCUAGCGGCAGGCCUAAUACAUGCAAGUCGAACGGGAUGGUCGCCUUCGGGCGGCCUGAGAGUGGCGCACGGGUGCGCAACGCGUAUGCAACCAACCCCCGACAGGCGGAUAGCCGGUGGAAACGCCGGAUAAUACGCCAUGGUUCCGGGAGAGGGCAUCCUCUUCUGGAUAAAGCUACGGCGGUCGGGGACGGGCAUGCGUCCCAUUAGAUGGUAGGCGGGGUGACGGCCCACCUAGUCCGCGAUGGUAGGGGAUCUGAGAGGACGGUCCCCCACACUGGUACUGAGACACGGACCAGACUCCUGCGGGAGGCAGCAGUAAGGGAUAUUGGUCAAUGGGGGCAACCCUGAACCAGCCAUGCCCGCGUGAGGGAAUGAGGCCCUACGGGUCGUGAACCUCUUUUAUUCGGGGACAAGGACGCGGUCGCGAACCGUGUUUGAGGGUACCGAAGGAAUAAGCAUCGGCUAACUCCGUGCCAGCCGCUGC
rnacentral:rRNA from 1 species